GAGGGAGACAGAGACAGAGACAGAAUGUGUGUGUGUGAGUGUGUGUGUGAGUGUGAGAGAGACAGAGACAGAAUGUGUGUGUGUGAGUGUGUGUGUGUGUGUGAGUGAGUGUGAGAGAGAGAGAGACAGAGACAGAAUGUGUGUGUGUGAGUGUGUGUGUGAGUGUGAGUGUGUGAGUGUGUGUGCACUUUGCUGACUCCCAGGGAGGUCCGAUUGCACAGCCUGUCCCGGGCCAUCUAUUUAUAGCGGCUGCCAGCCCGAGCCGGGCCCGCCGGGAGACAAGUGAGGAGUCAAGCAGCAGGGAUAAAGUUCUCCUUGCCCCCAAAACCCCCAGUCUCAACAUCCUGCCGCCCUAAAUCCGGCAGAAACCUCUGUCCCAGGGGAGCUGCUAGAGAAGCAACUAAAAAUGGCCCGAAGAUCCUCAGAAACCCCUUUCCCUUCUCAAAGCAUCAGUCCCUGUCUGUCCCAGCCUUCCCUUUAUCCUACCUAAAAUAGGUAGGAUAGCCUGGUCGGAGACAGCAGGAGAAACACUAACUGUGUGAACUUAGAUUCAGGGACAAAAUCUUUUUCACCUUUGAACGAAAGCAACCAACUGGGUGUUGCUGGUGGUCCUGGUGAUAAUGGGGGUGAUGGUGGCUCUCUCAGCUCCCUGACGCUCUAUGUUUCAGCAGCUUUCCGCACUACAGAUCCCAAGGUGCCCAUCCUGUGGGACACUUGGCCAACGCUUCCACAAGGCACACUCUCAGCAUCCUCACUUUCCCUGACAAAACAGUAGAACACGAGGCUGUGGACGGUGACUAUCCCCCUUUUCUGUCACAUUUCUUUGAGGACCUUGUCUACUUUGGUAGCACCUUGUGAUGUGCUGCAGCUUGUUCACACCCCCCAUCUCUCUCUCUCCAUUGCCCUCUGAGUGAUACUCAUUUUUAAAUCUCUAGACUAGUACCAUGUUCCAAACUCAUGGGCACCCAAUGGGACAGGUAGAAUAUCAGUAUUUUAAAAAGACCUUUGUUUCUAGAAGUUUCGUGUCAUUACAGGGGCUUUGCAAUUUUCAGAAGGUAAUCUAGCCCACUCUUUUUCCUCCUGUUUAAAAAUUUAAACUUAACUCAUUGUCCAUUUUCUGACCAGGUGCCCUAAUCAAGAUAAUGGGCAUUCUCUAUUUCCUUGGUGGAUAAAUAGUUCAAACUCUUUAGAGUGGCUAAGGAUCUUAUCCAGGAGGUUACAAUAUUCUGUGAAAAGACUCCACAACAAUUAAACUUGAUGUAGAAUUGCAGUUGAUUAAUAGACAAACUUAAUUGUAACUUAAAGUUACUUUGAAAAGCAUGGGUAUGGAACAUAUUUUUUAAAAAGUAUGAGGAUGGCUGGCUCCUUUAAGAAACUUAUAGGUUUUGAACUGGAAGUUAGGGAUAGGUCAAAUGCAUAUGAAUAUAUCAGCCAACAGGUAAGUUAAGUAUAAGAGCUAUGGAAAUUCAAGGUACGGUCAGCAAGAAAGCUUCAAAUCAAAAAUAAGUUUUGAACUGGGCCAGGAAGGAAAAGUAGGAUGUUCUAAAGGGACAUAACGACCAAAAAGACAGAAUUGGGAGAGCAAAGGAUUAUUGAAGGGAUGUUGAGUUAAUUCAUUAUGUUGAGAAUUUAGGGUUUCCUAUUGAAGGAGAGAAAGAAGCACAGACAUGCAGGACAGCUUUGAAAGCUACAGGUAGAAUCAUUCUUCAAACCAAAGCCAGUCAUAGAUAAGAGAUCUGCAGCAUUGUGUAGAAUUUGUUUCUUUUCUAUAUGGAAAUGCCUAUUUGGUGCUAAAGUUGAGAAUUAAAAUAACUUUUAAAAAGAUAAACAGAACAUACACCUGUUUUUCUAAUUUGAUGUUUGAUUCAUCACAGGUAUGUUUUCCAUUACAGUUCUAUAAUACCUCAUUAUGAUGUAAUUCUGGAUUCUCAAAUGCUGUACUAACCGAGCACAAGUUUGGAGGAAAGACUUCAGGUAUAGUCUUUUUUUUUUUUUUUUUUUUACUUUUGGAAAAUCAUGUGUUUAUUCAUGGUUUUAGUCAAUCACAUAACACUCAAUCACAUAAGAUACAGAUUAUAACAUUGAUUAAUCUUAGCCAUAAUUUAUAAUAAACGUUUAUCUUUGAUUCUUUUUUUUUUUUUUAAUUUUUUUUUUUAUUUAAUAGCCUUUUAUUUACAGGAUAUAUACAUAGGUAACUUUACAGCAUUAACAAUUGCCAAACCUCUUGUUCCAAUUUUUCACCUCUUACCCCCACCCUCCCUAAAUGUCAGGAUGACCAGUAGAUGUUAAAAUAUAUUAAAAUAUAACUUAGAUACACAAUAAGUAUACAUGACCAAAACAUUAUUUUGCUGUACAAAAAGAAUCAGACUCUGAAUUAUUGUACAAUUAGCUUGUAAAGGAAAUCAAAAAUGCAGGUGUGCAUAACUAUAGGGAUUGGGAAUUCAAUGUAAUGGUUUUUAGUCAUCUCCCAGAGUUCUUUUUCUGGGCAUAGCUAGUUCAGUUCAUUACUGCUCCAUUAGAAAUGAUUUGGUUGAUCUCGUUGCUGAGGAUGGCCUGAUCCAUCAGAACUGGUCAUCAUCUAGUAUUGUUGUAGAGGUAUAUAAUGAUCUCCUGGUCCUGCUCAUUUCACUCAGCAUCAGUUCGUGUAAGUCUCUCCAGGCCUUUCUGAAAUCAUCCUGUUGGUCAUUUCUUACAGAACAGUAAUAUUCCAUAAUUUUCAUAUACCACAAUUUAUUCAGCCAUUCUCCAACUGAUGGACAUCCAUUCAGUUUCCAGUUUCUAGCCACUACAAAAAGGGCUGCCACAAACAUUCGUGCACAUACAGGUCCCUUUCCCUUCUUUAUAAUCUCUUUGGGAUAUAAUCCCAGUAGUAACACUGCUGGAUCAAAGGGUAUGCACAGUUUGAUAACUUUUUGAGCAUAGAUCCAAACUACU
rnacentral:lncRNA from 1 species